CGUUUACUAGAUGUGGAGAUUUAUAAUAAUUGGAUUUAACAUGAUAUUUGUGAUAUUCGAGGACAUUUAACCAGAAUAGGAUAUACCGACUAAUUGAAUGUAAGUAAUUAAAUAUGUCACCCAUUGAAUUUAUUCUCUUUUUUUACUGUUACUUAAGAAGUUUAAAAGAGGGAAGAAAGAUACCAGAGGGAUGUUCAAACUCAUAGAUCGAAAACAAACCAACAAGGCCAUAGCUAAAAAGGAAAAAGACAAACAGACAAAUGAUAGUACAUUAGACACAACAUAAAAAACUAAAGAC
rnacentral:lncRNA from 1 species